rnacentral:tRNA from 1 species
GUCCUAGUAGCUCAGUUUGCUAGAGCCUUCCCCUGGCUGGCGUGGGUUCUAAUCCCACCGAGGCCG